UGGCGGGUGGUGAAACGGUAUCACAGGGGCCUUUGGAGUCUCUGUUCCAGGUUCGAAUCCUGGCCCGCCAGCCG
rnacentral:tRNA from 1 species